CCUUUGACGUUAGCGGCGGACGGGUGAGUAACACGUGGGUAACCUACCUAUAAGACUGGGAUAACUUCGGGAAACCGGAGCUAAUACCGGAUAAUAUUUCGAACCGCAUGGUUCGAUAGUGAAAGAUGGUUUUGCCAUCACUUAUAGAUGGACCCGCGCCGUAUUAGCUAGUUGGUAAGGUAACGGCUUACCAAGGCGACGAUACGUAGCCGACCUGAGAGGGUGAUCGGCCACACUGGAACUGAGACACGGUCCAGACUCCUACGGGAGGCAGCAGGG
rnacentral:rRNA from 1 species